GACGAACGCUGGCGGCGUGCCUAACACAUGCAAGUCGAGCGAUGAAGUUUCCUUCGGGAAAUGGAUUAGCGGCGGACGGGUGAGUAACACGUGGGUAACCUGCCUCAUAGAGGGGAAUAGCCUCCCGAAAGGGAGAUUAAUACCGCAUAAUAUUACAGUUUCGCAUGAAACAGUAAUUAAAGGAGCAAUCCGCUAUGAGAUGGACCCGCGGCGCAUUAGCUAGUUGGUGAGGUAACGGCUCACCAAGGCGACGAUGCGUAGCCGACCUGAGAGGGUGAUCGGCCACAUUGGGACUGAGACACGGCCCAGACUCCUACGGGAGGCAGCAGUGAGGAAUAUUGCACGAUGGGGGAAACCCUGAUGCAGCAACGCCGCGUGAGUGAUGACGGUCUUCGGAUUGUAAAGCUCUGUCUUUGGGGACGAUAAUGACGGUACCCAAGGAGGAAGCCACGGCUAACUACGUGCCAGCAGCCGCGGUAACAC
rnacentral:rRNA from 1 species